rfam:Bombyx mori DNA, contig: Bm_scaf39_contig22926, strain: p50T/Dazao, build 2, whole genome shotgun sequence.
AAAUAUGAUGGGUUAAAUUUGAAAAAUAAAAUUGGAACGAUACUAAGAAGAUUAGGAUGGCCCCUGCGUAAGAAUGACACGCACAAUUAUGAGGGAACACGCACAUAA